rnacentral:piRNA from 1 species
UGAGGAAACCGCAUGGGAAUUGGAGCUA